UACGUAGGGUGCGAGCGUUUGUCCGGAAUUAUUGGGCGUAAAGAGCUUGUAGGCGGUUUGUCGCGUCUGCUGUGAAAAAUCCGGGGCUCAACCCCGGACUUGCAGUGGGUACGGGCAGACUAGAGUGUGGUAGGGGAGACUGGAAUUCCUGGUGUAGCGGUGAAAUGCGCAGAUAUCAGGAGGAACACCGAUGGCGAAGGCAGGUCUCUGGGCCACUACUGACGCUGAGAAGCGAAAGCAUGGGGAGCGAACAGG
rnacentral:rRNA from 1 species